AGUUGCUCGAACCGCCGAGUGGAGGUAGGCAGUGUCUCGACCCAGACCUGGUCAUUGCGAAGUGCAGCGAGCGCGAAAGCCGGACACUAUGUCGCGUUACGGGCGGUACGGAGGAGAGACCAAAGUCUAUGUUGGCAACCUGGGAACUGGUGCCGGCAAAGGAGAGUUGGAAAGAGCGUUUAGUUACUAUGGUCCCUUAAGAACUGUAUGGAUUGCCAGAAAUCCUCCAGGAUUUGCUUUUGUGGAAUUUGAAGAUCCAAGAGAUGCAGAAGAUGCAGUUCGAGGACUUGAUGGAAAGGUGAUUUGUGGCUCUCGUGUGAGAGUCGAACUGUCAACAGGAAUGCCCCGAAGAUCUAGAUAUGAUAGACCACCUGCACGUCGCCCAUUUGAUCCUAAUGAUAGAUGUUAUGAGUGUGGGGAGAAAGGUCAUUAUGCUUAUGAUUGCCAUCGCUACAGCAGACGAAGGAGAAGCAGGUAUUUAUUUGGAAAAAAUGGAGCGGUUGGUAUAUGACGGUUAAUCAUGUAAUUCUUUUGUUAGCAAAGAAGAAAAUACUAUUUUUUUUCUAUAAACUUUUUAUGUGUUAAUUGUCAGGUGUAUUUUACAGUUUGUGUUUAAUUUUAAAAAUGUUAAUAUAUUAAUAAUCAACCUGGUCAAAACCUUUCAGGUUUCUUCGUUUGAGUCAGUCGCCUUGAUUCAGAAUGUCACGAGCCUUAAGAUAUCAUGCUGAGGCGCCUUGCAAAUCCGACAAUUAAGAUCCUCCUAGACCUUGAGGUGAUCAGCAUAAGAGGCCAGAUCCCCUCGAGCCUUCUACACCUAGCUUCACUUUAUUCUUUAAAGGGCAGAAAAUUUGAGACGGUGAUCGCCGUAACAGUAAAUUUGGCUUUCAAUUGGGGCCCCCCUCCGGUUUAGAAAGAGGAACACCAGAUUGACCACAUUCCCACCUAGAAAAAUCUUCUUGCGUCAAUCAAGCCUCACCUGGCUCAUUUGGCUGUCAGUUUGAUCGUCGUUAGAUUGAAGAAAACUUCUAGAUGCAGCGAUCGGCUAUAGAUACUUCUAGAUCGUCUAGAUCUGCUAGACCUUGGGCCAAAGAGGGUCGACCUGCAAACUUGCAAGGUCACGAUCUCGAUCUCACUCACGGUCCAGAGGAAGGCGAUAUUCUCGCUCACGGAGCAGGAGCCGUGGUAGGAGGUCAAGAUCUGCAUCUCCUCGAAGGUCAAGAUCUGCAUCUCUUCGUAGAUCUAGGUCUGCUUCGAUCCGAUCUCGAUCUGGUUCUUUAAAAAGAUCGAGGUAUUUCCAAUCAUCCCGCUCAAGAUCCAGAUCCAGGUCUCUUUCAAGACCAAGAAGCAGCCGAUCAAAGUCCAGAUCACCAUCUCCAAAGAGAAGUCGCUCACCUUCUGGAAGUCCUCGUAGGAGUGCAAGUCCUGAAAGAAUGGACUGAAAUGAAAAAAAUUAACCUUUUAGGAAGAAAGUUAUUUUGUUUACAUUAUUAUAAGGGAUUUUGUGAUGUCUGUUCAAUGUAAGUGUAACCUAGAAGGCUAUUUGAACCAUCUAAUAAUCAGAAUGGAUCUGGAUAUUUUAAGAGCUCUGUAAAUUUACAUCAGUAGAGUAGUGUAAAUUUUUUUUUGUUGUAUGUAUUAACAUCUUAUGAUCUGAAAAUGGGAUUUUUUUUAUUGGCACAUUUAAGAAUAAAAAUGUGUUUCUAACUAGACUUCUGAUUUGUGGUCACUACUGUUAAAAUUGGCUUGGGAAGUCUCAAGCCUAGAGAGCUUGUUAGGCCUGUUCAGGGUCAGUAUCUGGAUGUGGCUAGAAGGUGAUAAAAAGUAGUCAAGUUGAAUGCACUCAUGAAAUCUUUCAUACAUUUGGAUAGUUUAACUGUCAUUUGGGGCAUUGAAAAAAAGCCUACUUUUUCAUAGUGGAUAAAUUUGAAAGUAGUUAUGUUUUAGAGAGUUUAAAUAACCUCAAUUUUUCUUCAUGACUGCCUGUCAUCUGUGGCAGACUCAAAUGCCCUAUGAGAUUCUCACCAAGGGACCAUAAUUCAUUCAAUUAAAUUGGCAUAACAAUUGGACAGAGCUUAAAGUAAAUUUUGGGAAGCGCUGAAGGGUCCAGGACAAGUAAUAUAAGAGCACAAAUUUUACUUUUGGACAACUGUGUUGUGUCGUAGUUUAAAUAAAUGCAAUAAGAGCAUUAUAGGCAAGUUAUCAUCAGAUAGGUACUAAUGAGUGUUGAAAAAGUCAGCAUUUUGGGAAUAUAUUGCUCACUACUGUGCAAUUGUUUUUAGUAAUAUAUACAUUUUAGUAUUAAGUUAAAUUGUUUGAAGAUGCCAAAAAUGAGUGCAUGUUGGUUUUUUUUAUUUUUUAUUUUUUUUUUUAAGAAUUGCUUGGAUUGAGGACAAAGACAAAUGUAAACCAGCUUUGCAAAAUUGUCGUUUUCCCAGCCUAAGCACCUUUUCCAUCUUCCAUGUCCUUAAUAAAUUCUGCCCCAACUUCACCCUACCUGACCCUCCCCACAGAUAGGGCAGAUUUUGCCAGGCUGGUGCAAAGUAUUUAAAAUAUAAAACAAAUUAAAAUGUGGUUUGUACGCAAGCAGUACAUUUACAUUGUUAGCUUUUGGUUUGCCUCAUAUCACUUGAUGUGCUUAAAUUUUUAAUGAAGACUAAUAACGUUCCCCAAACCUUAAAAUAGUAGUAUUAGAAUAUUAUUUCACCAAAAGGCACGAAUGAUCGAUUCACAGAUAUUUGUUUGCCAGUCAUCCUAGCUUUGGUACAAAAAGCUUAACUUUCAAGGGCCAUGUUUUUCCAGUGCACCUGGUACUGACUUCCUGCCAUAAGUUUAAAAUAUAUCAGGUAGUAAUAGUAAUUGGCCACAAAUGAGUUUAUUUGGUAAUUUUUGAAUGCUUUGACAUACCUAAGAGCCAUUUUUUUUAUAUGCUAAGGUUAUUUGAAGAAACCUUUUUGUUAAGGGAUUUGAAUAUUGAAUGAGCAGUAUGAUUUGGUAUAGAAACCACCUACAGUGUACAGGUUUAUCUGUUGCAUUUUAUCAGCUUUAACUGUUCUGUACUAUAUUAAGGCAAAUUUACUCUACAAUAAAUCUGCAGAGAUUAAAAAAA